GAUCCUGGCUCAGAGCGAACGCUGGCGGCAGGCUUAACACAUGCAAGUCGAACGGGCGUAGCAAUACGUCAGUGGCAGACGGGUGAGUAACGCGUGGGAACGUGCCCUUCGGUUCGGAACAACUCCGGGAAACUGGAGCUAAUACCGGAUACGCCCCAAGGGGGAAAGAUUUAUCGCCGAAGGAGCGGCCCGCGUCGGAUUAGCUAGUUGGUAGGGUAAUGGCCUACCAAGGCGACGAUCCGUAGCUGGUCUGAGAGGAUGAUCAGCCACACUGGGACUGAGACACGGCCCANACUCCUACGGGAGGCAGCAGUGGGGAAUCUUGGACAAUGGGCGAAAGCCUGAUCCAGCCAUGCCGCGUGGAUGAUGAAGGCCUUAGGGUUGUAAAAUCCUUUCGUCCGGGAAGAUAAUGACGGUACCGGAAGAAGAAGCCCCGGCUAACUUCGUGCCAGCAGCCGCGGUAAUACGAAGGGGGCUAGCGUUGCUCGGAAUUACUGGGCGUAAAGCGCGCGUAGGCGGAUCGUUAAGUCGGAGGUGAAAGCCCAGGGCUCAACCCUGGAAUUGCCUUCGAUACUGGCGAUCUGGAGCACGGAAGAGGUGAGUGGAAUUCCGAGUGUAGAGGUGAAAUUCAUAGAUAUUCGGAGGAACNCCAGUGGCGAAGGCGGCUCNCUGGUCCGUUGCUGACGCUGAGGCGCGAAAGCGUGGGGGAGCAAACAGGAUUAGAUACCCUGGUAGUCCACGCUGUAAACGAUGGAUGCUAGUUGUCGGCAGGCAUGCCUGUCGGUGACGCAGCUAACGCAUUAAGCNUCCCCNCCUGGGGAGUACGGCCGCAAGGUUAAAACUCAAAGGAAUUGACGGGGGCCCGCACAAGCGGUGGAGCAUGUGGUUUAAUUCGAAGCAACGCGCAGAACCUUACCCACGUUUGNCAUGCCCGGUUUGGUCGUCAGAGAUGACUUCCUUCAGUUCGGCUGGCCGGUGCACAGGUGNUGCAUGGCUGUCGUCAGCUCGUGUCGUGAGAUGUUGGGUUAAGUCCCGCAACGAGCGCAACCCUCGCCCUUAGUUGCCAUCACUUCUAGGUGGGCACUCUAGGGGAACUGCCGGUGGCAAGCCGGAGGAAGGUGGGGAUGACGUCAAGUCCUCAUGGCCCUUACGCGUGGGGCUACACACGUGCUACAAUGGCGGUGACAAUGGGAUAAUCCCUAAAAGCCGUCUCAGUUCGGAUUGUCCUCUGCAACUCGAGGGCAUGAAGUUGGAAUCGCUAGUAAUCGUGGAUCAGCAUGCCACGGUGAAUACGUUCCCGGGCCUUGUACACACCGCCCGUCACACCAUGGGAGUUGGUUUUACCCGAAGACGGUGCGCUAACCCGCGAGGGAGGCAGCCGGCCACGGUAGGGUCAGCGACUGGGGUGAAGUCGUAACAAGGUAACC
rnacentral:rRNA from 1 species